GAUGAACGCUAGCUACAGGCUUAACACAUGCAAGUCGAGGGGUAACGAGAGGAAAGCUUGCUUUCCUUGUCGACGACCGGCGCACGGGUGAGUAACGCGUAUCCAACCUGCCCCCAACUAGGGAAUAACCUUGCGAAAGUAAGACUAAUACCCUAUAAUUUCCUCAGAUGACAUCUGACGAGGAAUAAAGAUUUAUCGGUUGUGGAUGGGGAUGCGUCUGAUUAGCUUGUUGGCGGGGUAACGGCCCACCAAGGCAACGAUCAGUAGGGGUUCUGAGAGGAAGGUCCCCCACAUUGGAACUGAGACACGGUCCAAACUCCUACGGGAGGCAGCAGUGAGGAAUAUUGGUCAAUGGGCGGAAGCCUGAACCAGCCAAGUAGCGUGCAGGAUGAAGGCCCUAUGGGUUGUAAACUGCUUUUAUACAGGAAUAAAGUUAGCCACGUGUGGUUAUUUGUAGGUACUGUAUGAAUAAGGACCGGCUAAUUCCGUGCCAGCAGCCGCCGUAA
rnacentral:rRNA from 1 species